rnacentral:lncRNA from 1 species
ACCCUAAGAAGUGUUCUUGAGAGAAUUUGAGAGAAUGAGGGUAUAAUUUGGUUAUUAGAGGCUGAAUCUCGUGUUAUUAGGGCUAUUUAAGGGUGGGAAAUGACUGUCACACCCCUUUUUUUUAACCAAAAAGAUUUGUUUUAAGUUUCGAAAGGGUUUUAAUUAUUAAGUGACAAAAUGAAGAUUUGUUUCGAAAAGGACUUUUAUAUUCAAAACUUAGAGUCGCCACUUGGCAAAAUCCGGUGUGCCAAGUCACCUUUGAAAGAUCCUUUUCGAAAUGAUUUGACUCUUUAAAACUGGUUUGCGAACAGAGCUUCCAACUAAGAAAUUCUGUUGACCAAGGGGAAGGUGUUAGGCACCUCUUGAUCCCGUGGUUCGACCACGGUCGCUUGAUGGAGUGUAUUGACUAUUUUGGCACUAUGAAUGCAUAAACCACACAAAAGCACAUAAAACAACCAGCCAAAACAACCAAACCCAAAUCCAAAAUAUAGUGUCCAGUCCAAUUAUACAGUCCAAAAUAAAAAUGCGAAAACAUAAAUCCUAUUCUAACCUAGACUAAUCCUAUACUACGCUCGCCUCGGGCCUUCACCACGAACAUCUUCCAAGUACAAGAUACUUCGGGCCAUUUCCCGGAUAAAUCAAUACAAAUCCCUCGAGGCAUUCCCCGACCAAAUGAAUACAUUUUUUAGUGAGAGAAAAUCACACUAUUCAACAAAAUUUCAAACAUUCCACGGAAUUUUCAACAUUCAACCAAAGCCACAAAUUCUAAACAUUUGCCUACCUAACCUAUGUUUGCCUAAAUCAAUCGACAUAUAAUGAUACUACCAAGUUCAAUUAACGUUCAUUUCAAGUCAAACAAUCGAUUCAAAUUACUUCAAUAGUCUUGGAUUCCAAUCCCCCACAUUCUCUUUUUUUAACAUCAAAUUUUCCCAAUUCCACAAUUCAAGAUUACUAUUUCAACAAUCCACAACUACUUCCUCAAUGAAAUUAAGCAAAACAAAUCAAUAUCACCCAAUAUUCAAUCACGUUUCACACAAAUCAAACACGAAUGAUAAAAUAAAUAAAAAGAGAUAGAAUUGGACCUCAAGUGUCGAUUUCAAUAUAUAGGAGGUAACACCGCGCUAAAAAAACUCAAUUCGAACCUCAAUCAAUAAAUCCUAGCUCGAUAUACCUUUUUUCUCUGUUUUUCACCAACAUGAGUCAAUAUUUGAGCGAGAGAAGCGAAACCCGCGCCUGCUCCGAGAUCUGGUCACCGGAUUUUAUAGAUUUUUCAGCGGGUUUCGCCGGAACUAACUCAACAGGGACGAGUUUAAUAGAAAACUAGAUGCGGGGUGGGGAAACAGGUUUGUUGGUACUAGCUAAUGGAGUCGAUUUGGUCGGAAAUGACACUGGGUUUGCUGCCGGACAGUGAUGGAGUUACGAUUCUGGUGAAAAUUCGCCGAAAAAUCUGUUCCUAUCCUAUUUUCUCUUCCUUUUCAACUCUUUAUGCUCGUCUCGAUCUCUUCCUCUCACUAUUCUCUCUCAAUCUCUCUGAUUCUCCUCAACCCCAUCGAUCUCUCUAUCAAACCCAAUCUCUCUCACUCGUUUCUCUACCCUCUACCCGUUCUUCAUCUCUCUCGAACUUCUACUGUGUGUGAGUUGGAUGUUGCUUUGUGAAAAAUGGUGAGGUGAAGCUAUCUAUGGCAUGAUAUUUGUGCGUGGAUUGAGAGUAAAAAAUGAAAAAUAAUUGAAUCUGUUACUGUAUAUUUCUCAAUGGGAGCUCUAAGUGGGUGGAAAGCUAUCUUUCAAUGGAAAAAAAUGUUGAUCCCUCCCCUGUGUUUCCUAUGAACCCCUCUUUAAUGUAAAGAUGAUGUUUAUGGUGUGGACCUCCGCAAUGGAAAAGAAAAUAUGGCGUGAGGAGUCUUUUUGUGUGAUGGUAUGUGGGCCCCUAGAAUUGUUGUUGUGUAUUCAAUUGUUAGAUGGAAUCCAAGAAGGGGGGCUGAGGUGGGGGUAGGUAGGUGGGGUAGAGGAGGGUUAACACUUGAAGACAUGCCCCAGUUUUUGUAUGAAACAUCUUCUUUACUUGCAAGUCUUAGGAAACUUUUCACAGCAUUUCCUGUACUCUUUAUUUUUCCAACCAUUUCCUUUGGCUUUUCUGGCACACUAGGUUUCUUCUUAAGAAAUUUUUGUGAUCCAGUUAGCAUAAAAGUAGGAUCAGAAGUAUAGCGAUGAUCACCAAGAGUAUUGAACAAGGGUCCAUUAGCAGCAUGAGCAAGCACAACUGUUGGGCGGUUGGCCAAUGUAGAAGCCUCAAUAGGGGUGAGCAACAAGAUCACAGACGAUAAGUGGUGUUGUGAAUAUAGCAGGCUUAUACUGAGGAGCUAGAGGAAAAGUGGUGGAUGAUUUUGGCUUGGAAUGAAUUUUGAGUCAUGUUGUGGUGCAUCAACAACAGUAGGACACCAACUUUGCGAUUUUCGUGGAAAACUCGAGCUAUUUGUAGGAUAAAUAAAGGGAAAUGAAUGAGGAGGCAACCCACUGGCCCAAACUCGAUGCAUUUCUGUCAUUUGUUGUCUUAGCCUCUUAAUCUUUUGCUUUAAACUCUCAUUUUCCUGAUUCUUUGUUUUGAUCCAUGAUGUCACUCUCUAUAUCUUUGUUGGACACAACUAACCCUUUGGAUUUGGUGUGAUGUGGAGGACUAGCCAGAAUGCCACAAACCAACCACCUUAAACUCACUCACCAAAAAACAGCAAAUGUGUUAGAGUUCAACACUUUUUCAAAACUCUUUUUCCUUUUUUUUUUUUUAAAUUCACCAAACCCAAAAAGGGUGCCUACGUAUCUCACUCCCGAAAGGGGAGAAUCAGGUGUGCGUAGUUCGUGAAGUCUUGCCAAAAUGGCCAAUUAAUUCUUUUCCUUUCUUUUUUUCUUUUCCUUGAAACUUUAAGAAAAAAGAAAAUAACAAUUUGUCAAAAGAAUUGACUAAAAUCUUUUUGCAUUUUUCAAGUUUAAACUCCCUCUACAAAAUGGAACCUAUGAUUACCAAAAAAAAAUAUCUUUUGGGGUUUUCAAUUUUGAAUUUCAUAGGAAAAUGAAACUGAAACUAUUAAAGAAAAAUCUUUUUGUAGUUUUCUUUUAAAUAUGUACAUGAAACACCUACUCUAAAUGAUGAGUGAAAUUAUUUUUUUGUACUUUUGAAAUAAGAUUCCCGAACCCACAAUAGGCUGUCUACGUAUCUCACUCCCGAUAGAGGAAAAUCAGGGGUGCGUAGUUCGUCCAGAUUGGACAAAUAAGGAUUAAAUAAAUAACACCCUGACUUGAGAGACACGAGCACAAACAGAAGAUGCAAAACGUCCAUAAAAUUUUUUGAAUUUUCAAUUUGACACUUCACAUAAAAAUGACACCAACAACUAUGAAAAAAAAUCUUUUUGGUAUUUUCGUGAAAUGUACAAAACUCCUAUAAUUUUUUUUUCAUUUUUCUUUUAUAAAAACUCCUAUGAAUGAAAAAUAUUUUUAAAGUCUUCAAAUUGUGAAUGUAUACUAAAUAAGAGAAAGGAAAAAUCUUUUUGAUGUUUUUGUCUUUGAUAAAUGAGUGCAAAAGGUAAAUCUUUUUGAAUUUUUAGAUUGUGGAGAAUAAAAACCAUAAAAAACUCAAAAAAAAAAAUUACGAAACACUUUUUUUUUUCUUUUCUCUUUUUCUCCCUUUUUUUUAAACCUUUCCUUAUCUAUACACUUCCUUUAAUUCUAGAACAUACUUUUUCCCAAAACAGUCUGUCAAAUGACCCCAUUACCCUCAAAGAUGUAACAUUUAGCACGUAGAGAUGCUUUAGAGGUGAGUCUCCUACAAAGGCCCAAGUGAGCCCCACUAGGUCUCAAUAUGAUGCACAUAAACAUGACCUGAAGGCUGACCUACGUUGAGGUUCACUAACAAGGCUGUUCGGGGGAGCGUAUGAUCGAUAAUGGCUGCGACACCUUUUCACCUACUCCAUACAACCCAAUGGCUCCCCCUCCUAAAAUAAGGGUGACUCAACUAUAAGUUGUGUACACACGUGUACUACGGACUUGUUGUAGAAAGAAUGACUCGGGCUAUGGGCAUAAUGCCAGAUAUAAAGCAGUAACACAUAAAGUGAAAAUUAUAAACAAAGAGCACGUAGACACUCAACAAUGAUAAAACAAAAACACAAAACAACACAAACAAAAUGUCUAUAAACCUAUAGUGCCAAACUAAGCUGAUACAACUCCUAAAUAAGCUCGAAUUCUGAAAAAUUCCCCAGCAGAGUCGCCAGAGCUAUCACACCCCUUUUUUUAACCAAAAAGAGUUGUUUUAAGUUUCGAAAGGGUUUUAAUUAUUAAGUGACAAAAUGAAGAUUUGUUUCGAAAAGGACUUUUAUAUUCAAAACUCAGAGUCGCCACUUAGCAAUUCCGGUGUGCCAAGUCACCUUUGAAAGAUCCUUUUCGAAACGAUUUGACUCUUUAAAAUUGGUUUGCGAACAGAGAUUCCGACUAAGGAAUUCUGCUGACCAAGGGGAAGGUGUUAGGCACCCCUCGAUCCCGUAGUUCGACCACGGUCGCUUGAUGGAGUGUAUUGACUAUUUUGGCACUACGAAUUCAUAAACCACACAAAAGCACAUAAAACAACCAACCAAAACAAACAAACCCAAAUCUAAAAUAUAGUGUCCAGUCCAAUUAUACAGUCUAAAAUAAAAAUGCGAAAACAUAAAUCUGUUCUAACCUAGACUAAUCCUAUUCUACGCUCCGCUGCUUCAACCGAUGCCUCGGGCCUUCACCAUUAACAUCUCCAAGUACAAGAUACUUCGGGGCAUUCCCCGAAUAAAUCAAUACAAAUCCCUCGAGGCAUUCCCCGGCCAAAUAAAUACAUUUUUUAGUGCGAGAAAAUCACAUUAUUCAAUAAAAUUUCAAAUAUUCCACGGAAUUUUCAACAUUCAACCAAAGCCACCAAUUCUAAACAUUUGCCUACCCAACCUAUGUUUGCCUAAAUCAAUCGACGUAUCAUGAUACUACCAAGUUCAAUUAACGUUCAUUUCAAGUCAAACAAUCGAUUCAAAUUACUUCAUAGUCUUCGAUUCCAAUCCCCGACAUUCUCUUUUAACAUCAAAUUUUCCCAAUUCCACAAUUCAAGAUUACUAUUUCAACAAUCCACAACCAUUUCCUCAAUGAAAUUAAGCAAAACAAAUCAAUAUCACCUAAUAUUCAAUCACGUCUCACACAAAUCAAACACGGAUAAUAAAAUAAAUAAGAAGAGAUAGAACUGGACCUCAAGUGUCGAUUUCAAUACACAGGAGGUAACACCGCGCUCGAAAAAAUUCAAUUCGAACCUCAAUCAACAAACCCGAGUUUGAUAUACCCUUUUUCUCUGUUUUUCACCAACACGAAUCAAUAUUUAAGCGAGAGAAGCGAAACCCGCGCCUGCUCCGAGAUCUGGUCGCCGAAUUUUAUAGAUUUUUCGGCGGGUUUCGCCGGAACUGACUCAACAGAGAUGAGUUUAAUAGAAAGCUAGAUGCAGGGUGGGGAAAUAGGUUCGCUGGUACUAGCUGGUGGAGUUGGUUUGGUCGGAAACGACAGUGGGUUUGCUGCCGGACAGUGAUGGAGUUACGAUUCCGGCGAAAAUUCGCCAAAAAAUCCAUUCCUAUCCUAUUUUCUCUUCUUUUUUAGCUCUCUAUGCUCGUCUCGAUCUCUUCCUCUCACUAUUCUCUCUCGAUCUCUCUGAUUCUCCUCAACCCCGUCGAUCUCUCUGUCAAACCCAAUCUCUCUCACUCGUUUCUCUACCCUCUACCCGUUCUUCAUCUCUCUCGAACUUCUACUGUGUGUGAGUUGGAUGUUGCUUUGCUAAAAAUGGUGAGAUGAAGCUAUCUAUGGCAUGAUAUUUGUGCGUGGAUUGAGAGUAAAAAAUGAAAAAUAAUUGAAUCUGUUACUAUGUAUUUCUCAAUGGGAGCUCUAAGUGGGUGGAAAGCUAUCUUUCAAUGGAUAAAAAUGCUGAUCCCUCCCCUCUGUUUCCUAUGAACCCCUUUUAUGUGAAGAUGAUGUUUAUGGUGUGGACCCCCGCAAUGGAAAAGAAAAUAUGGCGUGAGGUGUCUUUUUGUGUGAUGGUAUGUGGGCCCCUG